GAUGAACGCUGGCGGCAUGCUUAAUACAUGCAAGUCGAACGGAAAGACGAGGCGCUUGCUCGACUGGCGUUAGCGGCGGACGUGUUACAAAGGCGUGGAUAACCUACCUAUAAGACAGGGAUAAAUUCAGGAACCCGUAGCGAAUACCAUAUAAUAUAUUGAACGGCAUGGUGCAAUAGUUAAAGCCGUUUUUGCUGUCGCUUAUAGAUGUAUUCGUGCCGCAGUAGCGAGUUGGUAAGGUAACGGCUUACCAAGUCGACGAUGCGUAGCCGAACUGAGAGGGUGAUCAGCCACACUGGGACUGAGACACGGCCCAGACUCCUACGGGAGGCAGCAGUAGGGAAUCUUGGGCAAUGGGCGCAAGCCUGACCGAGCAACGCCGCGUGAGUGAAGAAGGUCUUCGGGUUGUAAAACGCUGUUGUUAGGGAAGAAAAAAUGUGUAAGAAACUAUGCAGGUAUUGACGGUACCUAAACAAUAAGCACCGGCUAACUACGUG
rnacentral:rRNA from 1 species